rnacentral:rRNA from 1 species
GUGGGGAAUCUUGCGCAAUGGGCGAAAGCCUGACGCAGCCAUGCCGCGUGAAUGAUGAAGGUCUUAGGAUUGUAAAAUUCUUUCACCGGGGACGAUAAUGACGGUACCCGGAGAAGAAGCCCCGGCUAACUUCGUGCCAGCAGCCGCGGUAAUACGAAGGGGGCUAGCGUUGCUCGGAAUUACUGGGCGUAAAGGGAGCGUAGGCGGACAGUUUAGUCAGAGGUGAAAGCCGAGGGCUCAACCUUGGAAUUGCCUUUGAUACUGGCUGUCUUGAGUUUGGGAGAGGUGUGUGGAACUCCGAGUGUAGAGGUGAAAUUCGUAGAUAUUCGGAAGAACACCAGUGGCGAAGGCGACACACUGGCCCAAUACUGACGCUGAGGCUCGAAAGCGUGGGGAGCAAACAGGAUUAGAAACCCCGGUAGUCC